rnacentral:rRNA from 1 species
UGCGUAGGCGGCGCUAUAAGUCAGAGGUGAAAGGCCACAGCUUAACUGUGGGACUGCCUUUGAUACUGUAGUGCUUGAAUUAGGUUGAGGUUGGCGGAAUGUGACAUGUAGCGGUGAAAUGCUUAGAUAUGUCAUAGAACACCAAUUGCGAAGGCAGCUGACUAGACCUUAAUUGACGCUGAGGCACGAAAGCGUGGGGAGCGAACAGGAUUAGAUACCCUGGUAGUCC